rnacentral:lncRNA from 1 species
AUGUUCAACAUCUUUAGUCAUAAGGGAAAUGCAAACCAAAACAACCCUGAGAUUUCACCUCACACCAGUGAGAAUGGCUAAGAUCAAAAACUCAGAUGACAGCAGAUGCUUGCGAGGAUGUGGAGAAAGAGGAACACUCCUCCAUUGUUGGUGGGAUUGCAGACUGGUACACCCAUUCUGGAAAUUAGUCUGGAGGUUCCUCAGAAAAUUGGACAUUGAACUACCUGAGGACCCAGCUAUACCUCUCUUGGGCAUAUACCCAAAAAAUGCCCCAACAUAUAACAAAGACACAUGCUCCACUAUGUUCAUAGCAGUCUUAUUUAUAAUAGCCAGAAGCUGGAAAGAACCCAGAUGCCCUUCAACAGAGGAAUGGAUACAGAAAAUGUGGUACAUCUACACAAUGGAAUAUUACUCAGCUAUCAAAAACAAUGACUUUAUGAAAUUCAUAGGCAAAUGGAGGGAACUGGAAAAUAUCAUCCUGAGUGAGGUAACCCAAUCACACACAUGGAAAAACGCACAUGGUAUGCACUCAUUGAUAAGUGGCUAUUAGCCCAAAUGUUUGAAUUACCCUAGAUGCACAGAACACAUGAAACUCAAGACGGAUGAUCCAAAAAAAAAAAAAAAAA